rnacentral:rRNA from 1 species
AUUGAACGCUGGCGGCAGGCCUGACACAUGCAAGUCGAGCGGAUGAAGGGAGCUUGCUCCUGGAUUCAGCGGCGGACGGGUGAGUAAUGCCUAGGAAUCUGCCUGGUAGUGGGGGAUAACGUCCGGAAACGGGCGCUAAUACCGCAUACGUCCUGAGGGAGAAAGUGGGGGAUCUUCGGACCUCACGCUAUCAGAUGAGCCUAGGUCGGAUUAGCUAGUUGGUGGAGUAAAGGCCUACCAAGGCGACGAUCCGUAACUGGUCUGAGAGGAUGAUCAGUCACACUGGAACUGAGACACGGUCCAGACUCCUACGGGAGGCAGCAGUGGGGAAUAUUGGACAAUGGGCGAAAGCCUGAUCCAGCCAUGCCGCGUGUGUGAAGAAGGUCAUCGGAUUGUAAAGCACUUUAAGUUGGGAGGAAGGGCAGUAAGUUAAUACCUUGCUGUUUUGACGUUACCAACAGAAUAAGCACCGGCUAACUUCGUG